UACGUAGGGGGCGAGCGUUGUCCGGAUUUAUUGGGCGUAAAGAGCGUGUAGGCGGCCAGGUAGGUCUGCUGUGAAAACUCGAGGCUCAACCUCGAGACGUCGGCGGAAACCAUCUGGCUAGAGUCCGGAAGAGGAGAGUGGAAUUCCUGGUGUAGCGGUGAAAUGCGUAGAUAUCGUAAGGAAGACCAGUGGCGAAGGCGGGUCUCUGGACAGUUCCUGGACGGCUGAGGCACGAAGGGUCAGGGGCAGCAAACGG
rnacentral:rRNA from 1 species